rnacentral:rRNA from 1 species
ACAGCAGCCGCCGCGGUAAUACGAAGGGUGCAAGCGUUAAUCGGAAUUACUGGGCGUAAAGCGUGCGUAGGCGGUUUGUUAGGUCUGUUGUGAAAUCCCCGGGCUCAACCUGGGAAUGGCAAUGGAUACUGGCAAGCUAGAGUGUGUCAGAGGAUGGUGGAAUUCCCGGUGUAGCGGUGAAAUACGUAGAGAUCGGGAGGAACAUCAGUGGCGAAGGCGGCCAUCUGGGACAACACUGACGCUGAGGCACGAAAGCGUGGGGAGCAAACAGGAUUAGAUACCCCAGUAGUCCCUGUCUCUUAUAC